AUUGAACGCUGGCGGCAUGCCUUACACAUGCAAGUCGAACGGUAACGCGGGGCAACCUGGCGACGAGUGGCGAACGGGUGAGUAAUGCAUCGGAACGUGCCCAUCAGUGGGGGAUAGCCCGGCGAAAGCCGGAUUAAUACCGCAUACGACCUGAGGGUGAAAGCGGGGGACCGUAAGGCCUCGCGCCGAUGGAGCGGCCGAUGUCGGAUUAGCUAGUUGGUGGGGUAAAGGCUUACCAAGGCAACGAUCCGUAGCUGGUCUGAGAGGACGACCAGCCACACUGGGACUGAGGCACGGCCCAGACUCCUACGGGAGGCAGCAGUGGGGAAUUUUGGACAAUGGGCGCAAGCCUGAUCCAGCCAUGCCGCGUGCGGGAAGAAGGCCUUCGGGUUGUAAACCGCUUUUGUCAGGGAAGAAACGGUCUGAACUAAUACUUUGGGUUAAUGACGGUACCUGAAGAAUAAGCACCGGCUAACUACGUGCCAGCCGCCGCCGUAAAAC
rnacentral:rRNA from 1 species